rnacentral:rRNA from 1 species
UACGUAGGCGGAAAAUUAAGUCAGUAGUGAAAUCCUGCAGCUUAACUGUAGAACUGUUAUUGAUACUGGUUUUCUUGAAUAUAGUUGAGGUAGGCGGAAUAUGUAAUGUAGCGGUGAAAUGCUUAGAUAUUACAUAGAACACCGAUUGCGAAGGCAGCUUACUAAGCUAUGAUUGACGCUGAGGUACGAAAGCGUGGGGAGCGAACAGGAUUAGAUACCCUGGUAGUCC